CGGUACUGCCAUCCUGAUCCACUCACAGACAAGUGGUCUCCAUACUGGACUAUUUAAAAGAGAGGACCGCUCCUUGACCUCAGGCACAGAGUUGCAUUCAGAACGUGAACGAAGAAGGAAGACUCAUUUCGACAAGAUGAAGACCUUCUGUCUGCUGCUGGCCCUGUGCCUGGUGCUCGCCCUUGUCGCGAGUGGCGCUGAUGCUGUCUCGGACUUUGACCCUGCUGACGAUGAAAAAGAGGAAAAACGGGAAAAACGUAUCUGGGGAACGGUUGCCCGCUGGGCUAUUGGGGGAAUCGGACGUCUGAUGGGAAAUAGAAGACGAAAAGGAUAAAGGUCGCGGCAACUCACGCAAAUCAAAAGACGAUGACGGAUGUGAUGUCAGCUGCCUCUCGGCGGGUCAUGGACAAGAGCCUGUCACGUGAUUCACGCUAUCAAUCUAUUCUCAUCGUCUUCAGAAUCCCUCGAUCAGUGUUGACAAUGUCUUCAUUCAUAAUUGGUUUCCGUCUGCGGGAUACUUUAUUUUUUCUAAUAUUUGAAAAAUAAAUUCUGCACUCUA